rnacentral:rRNA from 1 species
UACGGGGGGGCAAGCGUUGUUCGGAAUUACUGGGCGGAAAGGGCUCGUAGGUGGCCAACUAAGUCAGACGUGAAAUCCCUCGGCUUAACCGGGGAACUGCGUCUGAUACUGGAUGGCUUGAGUUUGGGAGAGGGAUGCGGAAUUCCAGGUGUAGCGGUGAAAUGCGUAGAUAUCUGGAGGAACACCGGUGGCGAAGGCGGUUCUCUGGGCAUGUCCUGACGCUGAGGAGCGAAAGUGUGGGGAGCGAACAGG